rnacentral:rRNA from 1 species
CUCUGGGCUGUAAACCUCUUUUAUCAAGGAAGAAGAUCUGACGGUACUUGAUGAAUAAGCCACGGCUAAUUCCGUGCCAGCAGCCGCGGUAAUACGGGAGUGGCAAGCGUUAUCCGGAAUUAUUGGGCGUAAAGCGUCCGCAGGCGGCCCUACAAGUCUGCUGUUAAAAAGUGGAGCUUAACUCCAUCAUGGCAGUGGAAACUGUUGGGCUUGAGUGUGGUAGGGGCAGAGGGAAUUCCCGGUGUAGCGGUGAAAUGCGUAGAUAUCGGGAAGAACACCAGUGGCGAAGGCGCUCUGCUGGGCCAUCACUGACGCUCAUGGACGAAAGCCAGGGGAGCGAAAGGGAUUAGAUACCCCUGUAGUCCUGGCCGUAAACGAUGAACACUAGGUGUCGGGGGAAUCGACCCCUCCGGUGUCGUAGCCAACGCGUUAAGUGUUCCGCCUGGGGAGUACGCACGCAAGUGUGAAACUCAAAGGAAUUGACGGGGGCCCGCACAAGCGGUGGAGUAUGUGGUUUAAUUCGAUGCAACGCGAAGAACCUUACCAGGGUUUGACAUCCUGCGAAUCUCUUGGAAACUUGAGAGUGCCUUCGGGAACGCAGUGACAGGUGGUGCAUGGCUGUCGUCAGCUCGUGUCGUGAGAUGUUGGGUUAAGUCCCGCAACGAGCGCAACCCACGUCUUUAGUUGCCAGCAUUUAGUUGGGCACUCUAGAGAGACCGCCGGUGAUAAACCGGAGGAAGGUGUGGAUGACGUCAAGUCAUCAUGCCCCUUACAUCCUGGGCUACACACGUACUACAAUGCUACGGACAAAGGGCAGCAAGUUCGCGAGGACAAGCAAAUCCCAUAAACCGUGGCUCAGUUCAGAUCGUAGGCUGCAACUCGCCUACGUGAAGGAGGAAUCGCUAGUAAUCGCAUGGUCAGCAUACUGCGG